CCUACGGGUGGCUGCAGUGGGGGAUAUUGGACAAUGGGGGGAACCCUGAUCCAGCGACGCCGCGUGAGUGAAGAAGUAUUUCGGUAUGUAAAGCUCUGUCAGCAGGGAAGAAAGAAAUGACGGUACCUGACCAAGAAGCCCCGGCUAACUACGUGCCAGCAGCCGCGGUACUACGUAGGGGGCAAGCGUUAUCCGGAAUUACUGGGUGUAAAGGGAGCGUAGACGGUUAAGUAAGUCUGGAGUGAAAGGCCGGGGCUCAACCCCGGGACUGCUCUGGAAACUAUUUAACUUGAGUGCAGGAGAGGUAAGCGGAAUUCCUAGUGUAGCGGUGAAAUGCGUAGAUAUUAGGAGGAACACCAGUGGCGAAGGCGGCUUACUGGACUGUAACUGACGUUGAGGCUCGAAAGCGUGGGGAGCAAACAGGAUUAGAUACCCUUGUAGUC
rnacentral:rRNA from 1 species